GUUAUAUGGUCAAGUGACUAAGCGUAUACGGUGGAUGCCUUGGCAGUCAGAGGCGAUGAAGGACGUUGGAGC
rnacentral:rRNA from 1 species